GCGCCCUUUGGUAUUCCGAGGGGCAUGCCUGUCUGAGCGUCAGUGAACUUCACAGGAAAAGAAUUUGUAAAAGUUACUUGGAUUGUGAUUGAGUGUGACUUGUCUCACUUGAAAUGCAUCACGAUUGGUGUCAUAGGUUCGCCUCACCAAGAAUUUAACGUCUUGACCUCAGAUCAGGUAGGGUUACCCGCUGAACUUAA
rnacentral:misc_RNA from 1 species